GAAGCUGUCGUGUAUCGUCUGACGAAUGGUUUACGGACUCUCGUGUGGGGACCAACUUGGCGAAAGUUGUCCUGUUCGUCGCAUCUGGACACCAAUGGCGGUCGACCGAUGAUGGGACCACCACUGGUGCCGAAAGGUCGUGGAUUGUAUACUCCACCUUCGCCUAUGUAACCACCACCGAUUAUUCCACCUUCGUUGUAACCACCGUAGCCUAGAGGACGUGUGGGCCCUCCUACGCCAUAGGGAUUACGGUCUGGAUGUGCCUGAGGAUGAGCCUGGGAACCAUAUACGUCGUCCACAGGAUGAUCCUGCGCCCGUCUCGUUGGUUGAACCGGCUCAAUUGACACGUGUGAAGAUGUUCGGAGUACACGGCACUUCGACAUUGGAAGCUGGUUUGUCGAAGACACUCGUCAAGGCACUCGCUCAGACUACGUCCAGUUAUCUCAGAAUGAAAUUCAGUGCUCAAACGAGAAUUUCGAUAACGCUGGAACGCUGUAUCUGGUCGUCGCCCAUCGGAGAAAAGAUGCGACGAGGGGCUGCUGUCCGGAUAUUCGGAGCCACGUGCUAUGGAUGGAUCUACGCUUCGUAAGUGGAUAUUGGUAAAGUGUCGUAAAGUAUUAAUCGUUUCACUAUUACUUUACUUUGGACUUUGGAAAAUAAAUAAAAUCCUUUUUUCUCAAAGUUUGAAUUUAGAAAUUAUUGUUUUAUUGUUAAAAAAUAAAAUGUUUUAAUGUUUUAGAUUGAUAUUUAUGUUAGAAUUUUAUAUUUUUGUGUUUAGAUUGUACAUUUAGUAACAUAAAUGUUUAUUAUAAUUUGAUUUGUAUAAUUCUAAUGAUUAAAUUUUUGGUGUAAAUUAAUGGAUGAAUUAUGAAAAAUUUUGAAUGAAGUCACUGAUAGUAUAGAUAUACUUACGAUUAUCCAAACAAACAAGAUCAUAGAAAUGGUGGCUGGGGCUGCUGCUUAUUCCGAUAUCAUCUUUUUGAGAAACGGAAUCUUCUUCAGAAAUGACACAUUGCCUGGUUUGCUCGUCGAAUUCGACGCUUCGACAGAAGUAUUUCUCUGCUCUGAGACAAAGGGCUUGACACUCGUCUAAGGUAAGAUUCGUAUAAAUGUCGACUUCGAAUGGUCCUCGAAGACGUUUGUUCUCUUCUUUGACGAAUACAGUUAACCCAUCGCAACGACGUUCCGCUGAAAAAUUAUAAAAAUUUGAAUUUCUUCGGUCAAAAGUAAAUUGUAAAAAUUCAAGUUAGAUAAUUUAAAUACUUUUUUUAUUAAUUAUGAAAUCAUUAAUUUUCAGAAAGAAAUAUAAUAUUAAUUGUAAGCACCAUUUAAACAAGUAUUUUCAAGGUAAUCAGAAUUUGGAUCAUCCUCUAAUAAUUCAGGAUGCGUUCUUCUAGUAAAACGACUCAGAGCACAGCUUCUUAGAGCAGUGUCGUAGGUUGCAGAUCGACAAAUGAAACUGAACUCGUUCAGACAUCUUCAAAAUUUUCUUCCUGGGAUGUCUCUCGUAAACAUAACGCCGAUUUGGACAUUCUCUUUCUAUCCUAUCAGCUUCACAAAAGAAUACGAACAUUGAAAUAUUUAAUCAGAAAGAGGUACAGAAAUUUAUUU